UCCGUGUGUCUGUCCGUGUGGCGCUGUGUGCGCAGUGUCUGUGUGUCCGCGGGAGUGCGAGCACGUGUGCUGCCUGCGCGUGUGGUGCUGUGCGCGUACGCGUGCCCGUGGUUGGCUGUGCGUGUGGGAGCGCGGGCGCGUGUCCGUGUGUGCGUGGAACUGAGUGUGUAUGAGAGAGAGAGCGGGCUGCGCGGGAGAGGCUGUGCUGCGGUGUUUUCUGUGAGUCUGGGGGUUGUGUCUGUGCCCGUUUGCCCACGCGUGUCUCAGCACGCCUGUGCCGCCGGUGUGGCACGCCGCUUAUCUCCGGGCUGCCCGUGCAGCCGUGUUCCGGCCCGCGGCUCUGUUCCGCCCUGGGGGUGCCCCGGUCCGCCCCGCCGGCCCGCAGCGCUCGCCGGGCGCUGCCCGCGGUGCUGAAGCCCGGCGGUGGCGGCACUGCCCGGCUCUCGGGGCGCUGCUCCCUUCCUCGCCGCCCCGGCUCCCUGAGCAGCCGGCGAUGCCUCCCCCGCCCUCCCCGGGCUCCUCGGCCCCCCGGGGUCCGGGGAGACGCCUCGUAAAGCGGUGCUGCAUCGGCGGCGUGGCCCUGCUGGAGCUGCCAGACAGCUUCUCCCGUGAGGAUAUGAUCGGAGCGUCAGCGCCCGGGCACCGCUGCUCGCAGACCGCGCCGAAGAUGUCUGCCCGCGCCUGCUGCGCCCAGCUGGAGAGGCCGCAGCACGGGCCUGGAGGUCCUGAGGGAAAAGGGCGAUCUCUGUCGAGGAAUGCAGUGUUGCAGCUCCCAGGCCCCGCCUGACAGAACUACAACUAUUAUGCAAUUAAAGUGUCUACAGCUGGGUGUUCUUUUCCAGUGUGCACGUCUGCCUUUAAUAAAGAUUUCUCCCUUGAAGGAUAACAAGAAGAAGAGGAAGAACUAAUGGACAAACUGUGGUAAAAAGAAGAUCUAAUUGUGGCCAGAGAAGAGCGGAAUGAGAGGAUGCGAAAGGAACAGCUCUUCAGGGGCACCAAGAUGAGUGCAGAAGGAGGGCCAGGAGGUGCUCCAGGUGCAGAGAUUCCCCUGCAGCCCCUGGUGCAGCCCCUGGUGCAGCCCC